rnacentral:rRNA from 1 species
UUAAUGAGCUCUUCGGAUUGGUCCCGUAGGCCGGCCUUCGGGUCGGCUCUCGGCGUGCCGAGAAGAUGCGCAAAUUGACCGGAGUAGAGGAAGUAAAAGUCGUAACAAGGUAUC